CUGGUGCCUCCGGAGGCCGAGCAGCCCCUCGGCAGGAGCGAGGGGGGUGUUAGGGGGAAGCCGGGGGCGCGGGUCCAGGCGGAGGGCUCACCCCCUCCCUCCCUCCCCUCUCCCGCAGGUCUCUUCGAGCAGAGGGUCGAGCAGUAUUUGGAAGAGCUUCCCGACACAGAACAAAGCGGAGUAAACAAGUUCCUGCGAGGCCUCGGAAACAAAAUGAAGUUCCUUCACAAGAAGAACUGACUCCUUUCUGCUGAAAUACCAACCCAAAGACUAUUUAUGAAGCUGUGUGGGAGAUGCCGGCGGCGCCGUGCGGGAGGAGAGUGGGGCAGCCCACGGACGCUGUCAGACAUUGUGCCAGAUGAUGGCUCCUUUAUGUAUUUGGGUAGAAUUUGUACAUAAUGUGCUGUAAGCUUUUGUAACUGAUUUUGUAAUGAGCAAGGAAAACUGUGGUAAAUAUUUGUAUAUUCCUGAGAAUAACAGGUGCUUUGUUGUUGGUUUUUUUUUUUUGGUUUUUUUGGUUUUUUUUUUCCUUUAGUAUGAAUUGAGUUAUGCUUGGUGCAAAAAAAAUGACUAGCUGGUUAUGUGCAGCUGACUGUCUCAGCAGAACCACUGACUUCACGGGAUGUUUGUGAGAGCUACACUGAUGCCUGGGUACUGCGGGGAUGAAUGAGCUCGGGUACGUGGGGAGGGGGCUGCUUUCACGUGGCAGAGUUGCUAUUUUAUUUUUAUUUUUUUUUUCCUUCUAAUUAAUUUUAAAAGAAAGAAAUUACAAAGUAACUUGAUAAUAGGGUACUUGGUUCACAAUACAGAACUUCCACUUGGCUUGAACUCUGGUCAGUAAACUACUUGUAAUCCAUUCUGCACUAAGACUGCUCAGCCUGAGGAGAUCUCAGUCCUUUGACAUGCGAGCUGCAACCAGUAGGUACAGGACAUCCUUUCCUCAUGUAUGUAUUUAUGGUUUCUAAUAAACUCUGUAAAUAUACCUCUUUGUUUAUAUUCAUUGCACACCUCUGCGGUUUCUGAUGUUGAGGAGGGACAAAACCAGCGUCAAUUUCCUGUGACUUUUAAUGAAUUUGUAAUUAAAAUACAAAAUGGUUAUUA